AGAGGAGGUGCAUGGCCGUCGUCAGUUCGUACUGUGAAGCAUCCUGUUAAGUCAGGCAACGAGCGAGACCCACGCCAACAGUUGCCAGCUCGUCCUCCGGGAUGGUGGGGACACUGUUGGGACCGCUCUGCUAAAGAGGAGGAAGGAAUGGGCAACGGUAGGUCAGCAUGCCCCGAAUUAUCUGGGCUACACGCGGGCUACAAUGGGUGGGACAAUGGGUAUCGACACCGAAAGGUGAAGGCAAUCUCCUAAACCCAUCCGUAGUUCGGAUUGUGGGCUGCAACUCGCCCACAUGAAGCUGGAAUCUGUAGUAAUCGUGUCUCAAAAUGGCACGGUGAAUAUGUCCCUGCUCCUU
rnacentral:rRNA from 1 species